CCUACGGGGGGCAGCAGUAGGGAAUCUUCCGCAAUGGACGAAAGUCUGACGGAGCAACGCCGCGUGAGCGAUGAAGGCCUUCGGGUCGUAAAGCUCUGUUGUUAGGGAAGAACACGUACGAGAGUCACUGCUCGUACCUUGACGGUACCUAACCAGAAAGCCACGGCUAACUACGUGCCAGCAGCCGCGGUAAUACGUAGGUGGCAAGCGUUGUCCGGAAUUAUUGGGCGUAAAGCGCGCGCAGGCGGUCUCUUAAGUCUGAUGUGAAAGCCCACGGCUCAACCGUGGAGGGUCAUUGGAAACUGGGAGACUUGAGUGCAGAAGAGGAGAGUGGAAUUCCACGUGUAGCGGUGAAAUGCGUAGAGAUGUGGAGGAACACCAGUGGCGAAGGCGACUCUCUGGUCUGUAACUGACGCUGAGGCGCGAAAGCGUGGGGAGCAAACAGGAUUAGAUACCCGAGUAGUC
rnacentral:rRNA from 1 species